AGGGGGGCAUCGCAUGGAGAAGUCUGACGGAGCACGCCGCGUGAGUGAUGAAGGUUUUCGGAUCGUAAAGCUCUGUUGUUAGGGAAGAACAAGUGCCGUUCAAAUAGGGCGGCACCUUGACGGUACCUAACCAGAAAGCCACGGCUAACUACGUGCCAGCAGCCGCGGUAAUACGUAGGUGGCAAGCGUUGUCCGGAAUUAUUGGGCGUAAAGGGCUCGCAGGCGG
rnacentral:rRNA from 1 species